ACAGAACCGGCACCGUUAUGCCGUUCCAUUUCGCGCCUUUGACACUUCUCUUCUUCCCCGCUCACUCCCCCAUUCAAUCUCGCAAUGACUUUCACGAAACGCGAGCUCUCACCCCGACCAGAAUCCAAAAGGGCAGAGCUUGAUGUCUCUGGACCCGAUUCUCUAAGGUCCACGUCGAACCAGCUGCGCGCGAUGCUCAAUCCCGCUGGUUGUGAUUUAGAUGGUCUUCAAUGAGUAGGCAUUUGCUUAUUGUUGGUCUGUUGGUCGUGCCAAUGUUGGAAUAACAAGACGGAAGUAUUGUUUCGGUUGAAAGAUUGUUUUGGUUCAGUGGGUUAAUAUGGAAUACUCACCUCCGGACCAGCAGUAUGUUUGUCAUUUAGGCAUUUCUAGGGGAAUGAUGCCUGGGGAAACCUAGGGGAGAUGCUUCUUAGCUUUGGGUUUGAAGGCACAGGAAAAAUCUCUAGUGCUGUGUUGAGCUUGAAACUAAAUCAUUGGCUUUUAUAGGAUUAUCUGAGAAUGGAAAAUGGUUGGGAUUUGCAAAGGGAUUGAUGCUGGCCCAAGGGGUCUUGAAGUGGUGUAUUCUCUAGUAGAAGAGCUAUAAUGGGAGUCAGCUCUUUUUCCUAAUGUUCUAUUGAGGAAUGUCGUGGUUCAGUUUCGUUGAAGACGGACUUGUUCUUGAACAAGACUGAAGCCCUGGGCUUCAGCUCUUGAUGAUGGGAAUGCAAUAAUGGGACCUAAUUCUUCUGACAUUAGUUAUUGUGAAGUAAUGACGAUGGUGGGGUUGCCUGCUUCUGGUAAAACUACGUGGGCAGAGAAAUGGGCAGAAGAGUACCCAGAGAAGCGUUUUGUGUUACUUGGAAGAAACCUUAUUCUGGAUGAAAUGAAGGUUCCAGUUUUUUCCUUUAACAUUCUGUCCUUCUUGCAGAGAAGAUUUUCCUCUCUCUGCACUGGUAUUCUUUGGCAUGGUGAACGAUACUAUUUUUUUAAAUAGGUUCCUGGGCUAUUUUGUAAGCACAGCUAUGGUGAACAAUCCGAUCGCAGACUCCUUGAAAUCAUUUAUCAAUCAAACCAAUGUUUUCAAAAAUGCAUGCACUCACAAAUCGAGCCCAUUUUCAAGUUUCUGCAAGCAUAUUGCUGUUGUGGCAUUUCCAAAACCAGAAGAUCUAAAAUUCCAAGCAGAUAAGAGAUUUAAAGAAAUGGAGGGAGUUGCUGCUGAUGCCUUAAACAAUAUGAUAGGUAUCAUUUUUCACCAUGGCCUGUUUAA